UACGGAGGGGCUAGCGUUGUUCGGAAUUACUGGGCGUAAAGCGCACGUAGGCGGCUUUGUAAGUUAGAGGUGAAAGCCCGGGGCUCAACUCCGGAAUUGCCUUUAAGACUGCAUCGCUUGAAUCCGGGAGAGGUGAGUGGAAUUCCGAGUGUAGAGGUGAAAGUUCGUAAGAUAUUAGGAAGAACACCAGUGGCGAAGGCGGCUCACUG
rnacentral:rRNA from 1 species